ACAUGGGCCUCAAGAACAGCUGCCUGAGACCCAGGAACCAGGGCUCAGCGAGAACAUCCUGUGGCCCCAGCGCUGACCCCUAUCUGUGCUCUAUAAAGAAGAAGA